rnacentral:rRNA from 1 species
GUACACUCCUACGGGAGGCAGCAGUGGGGAAUUUUGGACAAUGGGCGAAAGCCUGAUCCAGCAAUGCCGCGUGAGUGAAGAAGGCCUUCGGGUUGUAAAGCUCUUUUGUCAGGGAAGAAACGGUGAAAGCUAAUAUCUUUUGCUAAUGACGGUACCUGAAGAAUAAGCACCGGCUAACUACGUGCCAGCAGCCGCGGUAAUACGUAGGGUGCAAGCGUUAAUCGGAAUUACUGGGCGUAAAGCGUGCGCAGGCGGUUUUGUAAGUCUGAUGUGAAAUCCCCGGGCUCAACCUGGGAAUUGCAUUGGAGACUGCAAGGCUAGAAUCUGGCAGAGGGGGGUAGAAUUCCACGUGUAGCAGUGAAAUGCGUAGAUAUGUGGAGGAACACCGAUGGCGAAGGCAGCCCCCUGGGUCAAGAUUGACGCUCAUGCACGAAAGCGUGGGGAGCAAACAGGAUUAGAAACCCCGGUAGUCCCAUGAU